rnacentral:rRNA from 1 species
GACGAACGCUGGCGGCGUGCUUAACACAUGCAAGUCGAACGGAAAGGCCCUGCUUGCAGGGUACUCGAGUGGCGAACGGGUGAGUAACACGUGGGUGAUCUGCCCUGCACUUCGGGAUAAGCCUGGGAAACUGGGUCUAAUACCGGAUAGGAGCCAUUUUUAGUGUGAUGGUUGGAAAGUUUUUUCGGUGUAGGAUGAGCUCGCGGCCUAUCAGCUUGUUGGUGGGGUAAUGGCCUACCAAGGCGGCGACGGGUAGCCGGCCUGCGAGGGUGGACGGCCACAUUGGGACUGAGAGACGGCCCAGACUCCUACGGGAGGCAGCAGUGGGGAAUAUUGCACAAUGGGCGCAAGCCUGAUGCAGCGACGCCGCGGGGGGGAUGACGGCCUUCGGGUUGUAAACUCCUUUCGCUAGGGACGAAGCUUUUUGUGACGGUACCUAGAUAAGAAGCACCGGCUAACUACGUG